GAGGAGGUAUCGGAGGUUGAUCAGUUGGAGCUUCACUACGCGGUGCCGCCCCAGAAGACGAAGGCAGAUGCGGUUGGAACAAACCCACAAACCUCCGGUGAUCAAGUAAAAUUUGACCAUCAGUGUCUUGCAGCUGGUCAAUUUUCCUCUUCAUGUUUGUGGCAUAAUUGUGUGCAAGCUUGUGCAAUUGUUUAUUUUCAUGCUUGAGUCCUUUAAUCUCCUCUUUGAGACUCUGUAUUUCAGCCACCAACGAUUCAACGUGACGGGUUCGAGCAAAUAGGCGUUGGGCCAUGUUGGACACGGAACCGGCACACUGCACGCUAAGAGCCAGAGACUCCUUAACCGCCAAUUCAUCAGAUCGUCUAGCGAGCAGUCUGUUAUCUCUGGGGGUGACAAGGUUCCGGG
rnacentral:lncRNA from 1 species